UACGUAGGGUGCGAGCGUUAAUCGGAAUUACUGGGCGUAAAGCGUGCGCAGGCGGUUUUGUAAGCCAGAUGUGAAAGCCCCGGGCUUAACCUGGGAAUGGCAUUUGGGACUGCAAGGCUCGAGUGCGGCAGAGGAGACUGGAAUUCCUGGUGUAGCAGUGAAAUGCGUAGAUGUCAGGAGGAAUACCGAUGGCGAAGGCAGGUCUCUGGGCUGACACUGACGCUCAUGCACGAAAGCGUGGGGAGCAAACAGG
rnacentral:rRNA from 1 species